ACAACUUGUUUUUUUGGGGGGGUUUUAUUAUCCACUGAUUAUUGCAGCUUCUCUAUGAAUCUGAUCCCAGUUUGUGACUAAUCGAUGUUUCUGCUCUGGCUGUUGUGCACACGAUCCUGGAAAUGUGACAGUCCACAGCUGACCUGAAAUUGUUGUUAUCUGGAACAUUUGUUAUUUGUUUUGUGGCCUUCUGUUUGCUCCCUUGUGUAAAGAAAUGAGGACACGCUGACCAGUUAAACAGCUGGAAAUGUUUAUCAUCAAGACUGCCUCGGGGUAACAGUAUUAGCACAAGGACCCAGCAUCUUCUGCGUCGUCAGAUGACAGCUUGUUAAUUUGGACAUUUGUCCAGACAGCAGCGCAGGAGUGCAUUUGAGAUUGAACAAAUCACCCUGGGGACUCUCUGGUCACUGCCCAGAAAUCUUCAAAUCUUUUGCUCCAGCAAAACUGUGUGUGCAUGAUGAUGACUGCAACUAAAGAGAGAAAUGUGUGUAUUAUGGAUCUGCCGUCUAUGCCCAUGCUAUUUUGCAUAAGUCAUGAUACAAUGUACAGUGAAUCAAAAGUGCUGCUUCUACGGGUGUGAUUACAUUUGCACGCCAGGUGUUCCAGAGAAGCCAGGAAGCUGCCCCAAUAAACAGUUCAUGCCCUGGUGUUAUAACUUUUGUGAUCACGAUGGUAAUUACCCAGGGGCAAAGAAGUGCUGAUGUUAUGCUUAAAAGCACACAGUUGAAAUGAGAAACCAGAGGUUUGCGUGCGCCGCAUAAAAAGAUAUACACCUUUAGUUUUUCCUCUCUGUCUGAAGUUAAAUCAAACCCCAUUUCUCGUUUUCAGAAUUAUCAAAACUAUUUCUUCUAAAUUCUCCAGUAAAGAGAGAAAGAAUAUGUCAGAGAUUCAAAAUCAAAAGUUUACAUACAGAAUGAUUACACUGUUACAAAAAAAAAGAUUUUUUGGAAGUUGUCUGUUUUUCAUCUUAAUUAGGACUAUUUUUGCACCACCGAAUCCUAAAAUGAGAUCCAUCUUUCCCACUUAGGCCAGGCUUUUACUCUAAUUUGAUUAAGAAAAAUCUGAUCUUCUGAUUAAAUUGAUUACAUUUUUGUGACAUUGUCAGUUAAUUUCCAGUAAUAUUUCUCAUCCAAACAAGGUUUUAGGAAAAAGAAAGAAAGGUUUACUAACAGAGUGUAUUAAUUAAAUGUUACAAACUUGGAUUUCUGCAAAUUAAAUAAACACUUAUAAGGGCAAUGACAUGUAAAUUGAACAUAAUGUCUUCAUUGUGCAAAAUUCUCUGUCUCUUUUAUGUCCUGAUGGAGUUUCUCCUCCUGAUCAUCACUCAUUGAUCCCAGAGUCUCUGGAAACCGAUCCAAAUGUGAGAACAAGCAGUGCAUUUUGAUGCUCAUGUUGCAUCCAGGAUGUUGAUCUGACUGAGCAAAACCAAUGUGAUUUUUGGAUUCAGCACAUCUACUGGCUCUGAAGAUAUUGAUAAAUUAAUUUCCCACAUAUUCUUUCUCUAAUUAUUUUGGCUCUUAGCAAACAGAAACAAUUUUGCUAAUUCCAACCACCCUGAAACAAAAUAAAUCUGGUCUGAUUUAUCUUGAGACAUCUUCUUCUCAUCUUCUCCAUCCAUUCAUCCCUCUAGGGAUGAAUGGAUGGGUUGAUGGAUGAUUUUUGGUAAAUGCCAGAGUAAGAAGAGUUUGUCAAACAUUUUUCAAAUUCAGAAGUGCUGGACAUACGGCUAUGAAGGACUGGACACAGUAAAAUGGUGUGACAAAUAUUGAUUUAACAAUACACUGAAUUAAACUCUAGUUCCUGCAACAAGAAGAGGAGAGGUAUCAGGAAAAAAACAACUCUGUGAUGUCAGAGGGAUCCUUAAACCCCACGGCUAGAAACGUUUGUUUAUGCUAAAACAGUCACUGGGUCAAACAUUUAUCAGCAGAGAUAAGGUUUACAACAGAGAGAAGGUUUAAAACAUGUAUCCUUCUCAACCAGUAAUCAGAAAAAAAAAAAAAAAUUGUGAAUCUGAGUAAUCUAUGGAUUAAAUUUUUCAUCCAGUCAAUCCUUUUGUUUAAAAAGUAGCAUU